UCCCUGGUGGCUCAGAUGGUAAAGCGUCUGCCUACAAUGUGGGAGAUCCGGGUUCAAUCCCUGGGUUGGGAA
rnacentral:tRNA from 1 species